rnacentral:rRNA from 1 species
CCCGAACUCGGCCGCGUCGACGACACAUGUCAUUUAUUUGAAAGGGGCAAUUGCUCCACUACAAGAUGGACCUGCGUUGUAUUAGCUAGUAGGUGAGGUAACGGCUCACCUAGGCGACGAUACAUAGCCGACCUGAGAGGGUGAUCGGCCACACUGGGACUGAGACACGGCCCAGACUCCUACGGGAGGCAGCAGUAGGGAAUCUUCGGCAAUGGGGGCAACCCUGACCGAGCAACGCCGCGUGAGUGAAGAAGGUUUUCGGAUCGUAAAGCUCUGUUGUAAGUCAAGAACGAGCGUGAGAGUGGAAAGUUCACACUGUGACGGUAGCUUACCAGAAAGGGACGGCUAACUACGUGCCAGCAGCCGCGGUAAUACGUAGGUCCCGAGCGUUGUCCGGAUUUAUUGGGCGUAAAGCGAGCGCAGGCGGUUUGAUAAGUCUGAAGUUAAAGGCUGUGGCUCAACCAUAGUUCGCUUUGGAAACUGUCAAACUUGAGUGCAGAAGGGGAGAGUGGAAUUCCAUGUGUAGCGGUCGACGCGGCCG